GGCCCCUCGCGACGCUAGGUCGAAAACCCCGCCAGGGCCGGAAGGCAGCAACGGUAUCGAUCGACGCGGGCGCCGAGGCCAGCC
rnacentral:SRP_RNA from 1 species